AGAGUUUGAUCAUGGCUCAGGACGAACGCUGGCGGCGUGCUUAACACAUGCAAGUCGAGCGGAAAGGCCCUUCGGGGUACUCGAGCGGCGAACGGGUGAGUAACACGUGAGCAACCUGCCCCUGGCUCUGGGAUAGCUCCCGGAAACGGGGAUUAAUACCGGAUAUGACCUCCUGGCGCAUGGUGGGGGGUGGAAAGUUUUUCGGCUGGGGUGGGGCUCGCGGCCUAUCAGCUUGAUGGUGAGGUGACGGCUCACCAUGGCGACGACGGGUAGCCGGCCUGAGAGGGCGGGCGGCCACACUGGGACUGAGACACGGCCCAGACUCCUACGGGAGGCAGCAGUGGGGAAUAUUGCGCAAUGGGCGGAAGCCUGACGCAGCGACGCCGCGUGCGGGAUGAAGGCCUUCGGGUUGUAAACCGCUUUCACCGCAGACGAAGCGAGAGUGACGGUAUGCGGGGAAGAAGCGCCGGCUAACUACGUGCCAGCAGCCGCGGUAAUACGUAGGGCGCGAGCGUUGUCCGGAAUUAUUGGGCGUAAAGAGCUCGUAGGCGGCUGGUUGCGUCUGCUGUGAAAUCCCGGGGCUUAACCCCGGGCGUGCAGUGGAUACGGGCCGGCUGGAGGCAGGCAGGGGAGAAUGGAAUUCCCGGUGUAGCGGUGAAAUGCGCAGAUAUCGGGAGGAACACCGGUGGCGAAGGCGGUUCUCUGGGCCUGUUCUGACGCUGAGGAGCGAAAGCGUGGGGAGCGAACAGGAUUAGAUACCCUCGUAGUCC
rnacentral:rRNA from 1 species